UACGGGGGGGGUAAGCGUUGUUCGGAAUUACUGGGCGUAAAGGGCUCGUAGGCGGCCAACUAAGUCAGACGUGAAAUCCCUCAGCUUAACUGGGGAACUGCGUCUGAUACUGGAUGGCUUGGAUUCGGGAGAGGAAUGCGGAAUUCCAGGUGUAGCGGUGAAAUGCGUAGAUAUCUGGAGGAACACCGGUGGCGAAAGCGGCUCACUGGACCUGAUCUGACACUGAGGUGCGAAAGCUAGGGUAGCAAACGGG
rnacentral:rRNA from 1 species